CCCUGUGGAUGUUACUAAGUUGGCCUGGCCCCCAUAUGACACUCCACUGCUGUGUUCUGGGGAAGUCUAUCUCUAUUUGUUGUGUGAUACUAUGCCUCGGAAGAUAUGAACAAACCUCUUCAUUCCACAUGGGGAACAGACAACAGAUCGAAGUAAGGAUACCACCAAAUUCUAAUGUGACUCUUUGAUCCCUGGCAAGUACCUGCUCUGGAUGGCCUGGCUGCUAACUUCCAGAACUCUUGAGCUUGUAGACCGAAACAGCGCCCCUCAAUUUCACCGCCCUGAACAGAAGUGAACAAACAGCUCUUUGAGAUCCUGCUUUCAAUUCUUUUAUGUCAGCAAGUUUCUUAUGAUCAACUACUAAUAUGAAACCUGUCUCACGUGACAGAGGACAUCAUCUGACCAGACAGACCAAAGAGGCCUCUCUUCUUAUGAAGCCACUAAUACCACCAUGGAGACCCCACUCUCUUGAUCUCAUCCAGUUCUACUUACCACCUGAAGGUCUCCACCCCUGAACACCACUAACUAUGACUUGGAGGAUUUAGUUUCCAACACCUGUUUCUGGGUGUUCAAACUUCAGCAUCAUAAAAAGGGACGUCUGGAGCUUGGGGGUUACUUUCAAGUCUGACACUAGAAAGAAUGAACAAAGAGAACUGAAAAUUCCCAAAGCCUAAUUCUCAUACUUGAAAAAAAUUAUUCAUGAGCAUGCUGUUGUCAGUAGUUUCCAAAUAAAUCA